GUUAAAUCACCAGCCUUAUACUUGUACCUAAAUAAGUUCAUAUUUUUUUAAAAAAUGAAAUCAUUAUACCAAAUACUAUGAUUUCCUUUUAGGUUGAAGAACAAAAUAACAAGCCUCAACACAAUGAAAUGGAAACACUGGUGGAAGAAAUUGGAGAAAAAUUACCUGAAGAUAAAAUGACUGAAAAAGUUAAUAAGUGGGCAUUUAAUGUAAAGAAUCUUCAGUGCAAUAACAGUGAAGAGAAUAAAAUCCCUGGGGAAGAAAUUCCCAAAAUGACCAUAGUACCUGUGCACCAUUGUUCAAAGUGGUUUCCACUGAAAAAAAGGGAAGAAAAGCAACUGAAGGCAAACAUGCUACUUAAAAAUGAUCAAAGAACAAUUAAGAAGAAAAGAAAAAUUAUCUAGUAAAGAUGCGGAGAUGAAACAGUCAUUUGAACUGGUUGAGAGUGACAAGGCUGAAGAGCAAAAGAACAAGCCUCAACACAAUGAAGUGGAAACACUGGUGGAAGAUAUUGGAGAAAAAUUACCUGAAGUAAAAUGACUGUCAAAGUUAAUAAGCUGCCAUUUCAUGUAAAGAAUGAUCCUGGCAAUGAAAGCGAGGAGGACAAAAUCCCUGCGGAAGAAUCUCCACAAAUGACCGUUUCUUCUUCCAAGGAAUCUUCAGCACUCGGGCACCAUCGAUCAGUGGGGUCAGUUUCUGAAAAUCACUCAGUGGAGUAUUUCACUAUCACGGUCUCUUUGCCCUGAAAAUCUGGGUUCCGAUUCGUUGUACAUGAACUGCAGUCUUGGCUGGUAUUUGUUUGGUUUUUGCCAAGAAAGAAACCAAAACCCAUGUAUGCAGCUUCUGUAGACACAGACACAAACACACACAUAUGAACGGAUAAAUGACUUUCAGGUUCUUUUAUUCUGGAAAUUGUAGAGCAGCAGCUACCAAUCACUCACUGGAAAGAGUUUCUUGACAGUGAAAGUCGACAUGAAUCUGUUUCCCCUCAUAAAAGUCAACUUUGUUUCUUCAGAAGUCCAGACACAUUUAGCUACAUAGGAUGACAAUCUUGAUUUCUACCCAAUUGUUUUUCCUAAAACAAGCAGUUUUCCUCUAGGUUUCCACUGAAAAAAGAGGAAUAAAGGCAAUUGAAGGGAAACA
rnacentral:lncRNA from 1 species